AAACAAGGUUCUAUUAUUUUCUUGUUGUUCUUUACUGUUACUGUUGCUGUAUCAAUAUCUAUUAUAUUGUAUAUAUGUUAUCUGAUUGUUUCUAAAAGACCAUGUGUUUUGAACAUCUUCUGACUUAUUUAGCUGCUGUACAUUUCAUUUUUUUCAAGUGCACCUUUAUCUUUUAAGGAAAAGCACCUUGGUUUACUUGGUAAGCUGACUGUUGGUUGAAGUGCAUUCAGUUGAUGGUACUAAGGCUACAUUGCAUUCCUUUGCUUCAUUGUGUUCCCCAAUACUACUGAAAAGUAGGGACACUUUUUAGUAAAUGAAAAAAAUAAAUAAAUAAAAGAGAAAAAAAAGAAUAAUCCCUAAAACAUAGGACUUUCGAAAAAUUAGUUUAGUGCAUCAGAGAGUCAUGUGUAUGGAGGCUCCUUCUUUUGCACCUUAAUCAAAAGUAAGGCCAUCUUAUUGCAUCUCAAUCACUAAUAGCAAGAGCUGUUGCAUAUUUCUCAGGAAGUUCAUCAGUAUAAAUAUAGUCAUCAUUUUCUACUCUAUAUCAGUAGUUUAAUUAGUUAUUUUUCUCUAAUUCUUUCCCUAAUUAAACUUUUCCUGGUCUUCCUUUCUCCUUCAGGAGCUCUGCAUAGUGCAAUGCACUAUGUGUUUGAUACGGUAUAUGAAGUUAUGGCAGUAGUGCAAUGUAGUAUAGACAGACUUGAGUUAAAAUUAUACUUGAUUACUUUGUUUUCAGCAUUAGCCUGGAAAGAACAUUUUCAGUUCAGUAGCAGCUGUAAAUUAUACUCUACAAAUGGGGAGAGGGGAGAGGCCUUGCACUGUAUUUUGUACUUCAACAGCUAUCCUGUGACUGUAGCUCAAACAAUUUGAUUUAAAACUUGACAAAGUGUUCUCCCAGUAUUACACUAAAGAGUCUUUUAUCCAUAACAUUGAUGAACCUAAAUUAAUGUUAUGAAUUCUCUUGUUCUAUUUUAAGAAUAUAUGGUUGUUAGACUGAUGUCUCACAUCUGUUCAAAGAAAAUGCUGUUUCACCACCUGCAACAUCUCUCUGUAUUUGAAGAGAUGUCUGGUUUUCUGAAGUAAGCAAAGAUGUUUGAUUUUCUUUACACUAACAUAACCUUUGUUCUUUUCUUCUCAAGCUGACUUCCUUGCUGUACACAUGUAAAUUUUAUAUCUCCUUUACUUAGCAUGAGAAUGCGCAGUCAUGGACUUCUGAAUGUCAGUGAACCAACUGGCUAUAUACUCUAUUACCUUGACAGAAAACAGUGCACUGGCAACAGCAUCACAAACACACACAGAAUCCAGAGGCCUUCGAAGUGUAAAGUUUACACAGCCUUCGGAAGAUGUGUAAUUAUUCGGACUAUACAUUAAAAAUUCCACAAAAAUGAGUAUGUGGUGUCUAGACAAGAGUCUGGGAGAGAACAUAUAACUGACCCAAACUGACUAAAAUAACACUCCAUACAAUUUGACAAAAUGCUCAACAAUAAAAAGCUCAAGGAAAUGUAUAGAAAAACAGGAUCUUCAAAGCUUUGAUAUUCAUCUUCCCAAGCACCAGUCACGGUAAGGUCCUGCAUCCCAGGAAGAGCCUGAAAAUCUACAUGUUGAUGGGAAGCACCAACUGAAUAUUGUUUUUUCCUUUUCUCAUGCAUGAUGUUUCUGCCUUUUUUAAAUUUUUUUAAAUUAUUUUUAUUUUAAUUAGGAUGUCAUUAUCUUGAUCCACAAGACUUUGUCUUCGUUUUGUUUUUUCCUCAUCAGAGGCUGCAGUAAAUAAGAGGUAAAAAUGAGUGUCAGUCCAAUGAUCAGCAUCAACCCAUGACAGACUUCAAAUGGGCAAAGUGUGGAAGUUCUUAUUUGUAGAUACAUAUAGAUUUAUUUAUAUAUAUAGAAUUGUGUUGAGUUCUGUUAAUUGUGUACAGUUUUUUCAGUGGACCACACUGGUAUAUCCUGAAGCAAAUCAUACUGCAAAUUAAAAUGCACAGAAAUCAGAUCCUAUUUUUUUCAUUAUGAAAAAAAAAAAAAA